rnacentral:rRNA from 1 species
GACACGCUGGCGGCGUGCCUAACACAUGCAAGUCGAGCGGGGUUGAGGCGAGAGGUAACUCGAACUUCUACCUAGCGGCGGACGGGUGAGUAACGCGUGGGGCAACCUGCCUCAAGGUUUGGGAUAACAGCCCGAAAGGGCUGCUAAUACCGGAUAUGCCUAUGGCCUCGCAUGGGGCUAUGAGCAAAGGGGAAACCCGCCUUGAGAUGGGCCCGCGUCCCAUCAGCUAGUUGGUGAGGUAACAGCUCACCAAGGCGACGACGGGUAGCCGGCCUGAGAGGGUGACCGGCCACACUGGGACUGAGACACGGCCCAGACUCCUACGGGGGGCAGCAGUGGGGGAUCUUGCACAAUGGGCGAAAGCCUGAUGCAGCGACGCCGCGUGAGCGAAGAAGGCCUUCGGGUUGUAAAGCUCUGUCUGGAGGGACGAACAAAAUGACGGUACCUCCGGAGGAAGCCACGGCUAACUACGUG